AUUGAACGCUGGCGGCAGGCUUAACACAUGCAAGUCGAACGAGUGGCGGACGGGUGAGUAAUGUCUGGGAAACCGCCUGAUGGAGGGGGAUAACUACUGGAAAACGUAGCUAAUACCGCAUACCAUCAGAGGCGCCCAGAAGGGAUUAGCUUGUUGGUGGGGUAACGGCUCACCAAGGCGACGAUCACUAGCUGGUCUGAGAGGAUGACCAGCCACACUGGAACUGAGACACGGUCCAGACUCCUACGGGAGGCAGCAGUGGGGAAUAUUCCACAAUGGACGCAAGCCUGAUGCAGCCAUGCCGCGUGUGUGAUGACGGCCUUCGGGUUGUAAAGUUCUUUCAGCGGGGAGGCGUUACCCGCAGAAGAAGCACCGGCUAACUCCGUGCCAGCAGCCGCGGUAAUAC
rnacentral:rRNA from 1 species